GAAUUAUUGGGCGUAAAUGGCUCGCAGGUGGUUUGUUAAGUGGUGGUUUAAUCUCUGGGCUCAACCCAGAGUCAGCCUCCAAAACUGGCGAACUUGAGUACGAUAGGGGAUAGCGGAAUUCUCGGUGUAGCGGUGGAAUGCGUAGAUAUCGAGAGGAACACCAAUGGCGAAGGCAGCUAUCUGGAUCGUAACUGACACUCAUGAGCGAAAGUGCGGGGAGCAAACAGGAUUAGAUACCCUGGUAGUCCGCACCGUAAACGUUGUAUACUAGUUGUUGGCGGUUUCAACGCCGUCAGUGACGACGCUAACGCAUUAAGUAUACCGCCUGGGGAGUAUGCUCGCAAGGGUGAAACUCAAAGAAAUUGACGGGGGCCCGCACAAGCGGUGGAGCAUGUGGUUUAAUUCGGCGAUACGCGAGAAACCUUACCUGGGUUUGACAUGGAUUUGACUGGGGUAGAGAUACCCCUUCCCGCAAGGGCAGAUUCACAGGUGUUGCAUGGUCGUCGUCAGCUCGUGUUGUGAGAUGUUGGGUUAAGUCCCGCAACGAGCGCAACCCCUAUCUUCUGUUACCAUCAUUAAGUUGGGGACUCUGAAGAAACCGCCGGUGACAAACCGGAGGAAGGUGGGGAUGACGUCAGAUCAGCAUGGCCCUUAUAUCCAGGGCUACACACGUGCUACAAUGGCCAGUACAGAGGGACGCAAAGCCGCGAGGUGGAGCAAAUCCCACAAAGCUGGUCUCAGUUCAGAUUGCAGUCUGCAACUCGACUGCAUGAAGUCGGAAUCGCUAGUAAUCGCAAA
rnacentral:rRNA from 1 species